rnacentral:rRNA from 1 species
GCUCCAGACUCCUACGGGAGGCAGCAGUGGGGAAUAUUGCACAAUGGGGGAAACCCUGAUGCAGCAACGCCGCGUGAGUGAGGAAGUAUUUCGGUAUGUAAAGCUCUAUCAGCAGGGAAUAGAAAAGAAGGUACCUGAAAAAGAAGCCCCAGCUAACUACGUGCCAGCAGCCGCGGUAAUACGUAGGGGGCACGCGUUAUCCGGAUUUACUGGGUGUAAAGGGAGCGUAGACGGCGACGCAAGUCUGGAGUGAAAUGCCGGGGCUUAACCCCGGAACUGCUUUGGAAACUGAGCAGCUAGAGUGCAGGAGAGGUAAGUGGAAUUCCUAGUGUAGCGGUGAAAUGCGUAGAUAUUAGGAGGAACACCAGUGGCGAAGGCGGCUUACUGGACUGUAACUGACUUUGAGGCUCGAAAGCGUGGGGAGCAAACAGGAUUAGAUACCCGUGUAC